GUGACUUUGGCUCACUGCAAUCUCCACCUCCUGGAUUCAAGCCAUUCUCCUGCCUCAGCCUCCCAAGUAGCUGGGACUACAGCAAAUGCCUGUGUAACACCCAGGCUUUUUACAAGGUAUCUAAAUACUUAAGUAUUGAACGAGACAGGAGGGAGUCUGAUCUUGAAGACAUCUGCAAAGAAGGUGGGACAACAAACAGAGUUCUUCAUUAACUGCGUUUCCGCUGAGCUGAGCAAGUCGGCCACGAAGGGAACAGAACAGCCAUGUGUUUACAUAAGUCAAUCACAGCGUUUUAUUUUUGUUGUUGUUUUUUAAUCUCAAAGCCAUAGUUAAAAUCCCCUCCAGAUUCUACUAACUCAGAAAUAGACCCAAGAAGGUAAAAAAUGUUUUGAUUCUCAACUUUAUUAGCAGUAAAAGUGGUUAUGGAGGGGAAAAAGAAGUUUUAUCCUGAGGUCCCCUUCCUACAUCUCUCAUAGCUCUACCCAUGGUGAAUUGGAAAUGAAGAGCCCCAUGUGAACAGCAAACCUGAUUCUUCCACUUAGUGGCAGGGUGAGAAGCUGCUUCUGAGAGAACAAAGGCCUGUCGGGGCCUGCAGGAGGCCGAACACACCUGCCAGCUUACUGAUGAGAACCUGAAGCAGAGUCAGCCCACAAUGCCUCGGGGGAGGAAACCCAGAAAGGAUUCUAAAGGCUGGGCCACAGCACCAUUAACCCCACAAUAGCCUUACGAUUGUCAGACUCUCCUCCUUUCACUAAUUAAAUAAACAUCUGUUCUUGC